AGCUUCACUGAAAAGAAAAGCAUGAAUAGGGUAGCAGAAUUAUGUAGUCUAGGCUACUGGAUACAGUAGAGACAUUUCUUUACCCGAGACAAAUCUGUCGACAACUAUUCUAUUUGGCUACCUUUUUGCGUCAUCUGACAGUCAGAGCGCUCCACAGUAUGAUGUAGAUAGGCUACAUUGUUGCGUCGUCUGACGGUUACAGAGACUGUCAAUCACUAAAGCCCUUAAAAUAUUUGUUGAAUGUUGCCAUGGCAUUUAAAUGAUUUAGUAGUCGUGUUUGAUUGGUUGCGUCUGUUUGUUACCUGGAGACUGUCUACAAGAGUUGGUGAGGAAACCAGCCCUUCGGCUUUGGACACAAGUUCAGAACCACCGGUGUAGACACUGCAGAAUAUUCGGAAACUUUGGUCCCGUGACGCUGUGAGUAUCAUGGCCACGCUAAGUGCCAAGCCUGGGCUCAGGUACAGUGUGUCUGACUGGGACCCCAGUAACAAGCUGAUGUCUGACACAGCAGAACAGAGGCGACACAUCUCACAUGAGACACGCCAGGAAGGGAGGACCUUACGCAAUGAGACAACCAGCAAGACUAACUGGGAUGAGAGUGACAGGCUGAGUAAUAGGAUCUGGGAUAUCUCCCGCUAGAGAGAGACUUUGGAAUCCUGCGCACAGGAAUUGGGCAAAGAGAUGGAUGCCUUAACCCUGAUGAGAUUUGCAAUUCAAUUUCAAAUUAGUAUUAAUCUGGUAUGCAGUUUCAAUGUACCUGGUAAAAAAACAAGCCAGGUUUUGGGGUGAUGUAUUGACUUUCUAGUACAGCGUAGGUGAAUUUGUGUGCUCUGUCUCGGGGGAAGGAGGAGACAGAGCGGGCCAUCACAGUGCCUCUGGAUGGUCACGGUGGAGUGCCUGACCUUGAUGGAGGGUCGCCCUGGAAACGAGCUAGUCAGCGACCUGGUGGAGGUGAUCGACAGAGCACAGAGGGUGCUUCAGCAGCGCAUUGACAGGGCCUUUGAGGAGCUGUUGUAAGAAACCAUUUGACCAAGAUUGAGUCCCAAAUGGUACUCUAUUUCCUUUAUAGUGUACUACUUUUGCACAGAGUCCCAUGUGCUCUGGUCAAAAGUAGUACACUAGGAAUAAGGUGCUAUUUGGGAUGGCUCCACUGUUAGAGUGAAACAGAAGCGAAAAAAGGAGGAUGAAAGAUGUCACAUAUUUUGCUGUCUCAGUACUUUUGCUGUCUCAGGCUGUUCUCUCCAGUCUUCUACAGGAGUCCCGGCAGCAGCUGACCCAUGACAUUCAGAACAAGGCCCAAGACAUUGACCUGUCCUGCUUGUCACUCACUGUGACAUCACCUGAGAUUCUCUGAAGCCCAACCCCCUGCGCAUACCCAUAAGGUGUGCUGGAAUGAGGGUGUACAAUACAAAGAAAUAAUAGACCUUCUGAAAUUCGGAGCAGGAUAUCUAGAUCAAACCUACUUAUGUGUUGUCAAUGAGAACCUCGUACAAUUGUAAUCCUUACGUGCAUAUACAUCUCUGUAACUAGCUACAAUAUUAAUUCACCAGGCACUCAACUCAUCAAAAUAGUUUCUGCAAUGCCACCAUUUGCCUUUCAAAUUAAUUGAAUGUACCUGUAAAAUACCUGUAUAUGUACAUGUGCUGUUGCAGUUCCACCACCUCCCAGCAGUGGGAGCAGUUCAGCCAGUACAACAUGGCCCAAGCACAGGAGACGAUGCAGGCGUCACAGCAGCUGAGGGAGGACAUGAGUCACUAGGGUACAGGUAUAAAAUAAAGCCUGGGGGAGGGAGAGAGGAGUGUAGCGUUACCAUAUGGCCAGGCCUGAAACAAUAGCACUGUUCUGUAUUGACUCCUAUAAAACAGCACUUCCCUUUAUAGUGCUGUACUACUUUUGACCAGGGCCCAUUGGGUGCCAUUUGGGGAACACACCCUGUCUGCUUUCACAGGGCUCUCUGUUGUUGUUUAGUAUCUGAUAGGGCCUAUUUCUGCUUCAUAGAUAUUGCUAAAAUGUAUGUGUACAGUAAGACUAUAGAGAGUUAGGUGACAAGUGUGGCAUAUCAAGAAGCUGAU